rnacentral:rRNA from 1 species
GACAGAGGUGCCAAGCGUUAGGCGGAAUCACUGGGCUUAAAGCGUGUGUAGGCGGAUCGUUAAGUACCUUGUGAAAUCCCACGGCUCAACCGUGGAACUGCUGGGUAUACUGGCGAUCUUGAGCCACCUAGGGGCGAGCGGAACAAGCGGUGGAGCGGUGAAAUGCGUAGAUAUCGCUUGGAACGCCAACGGUGAAAACAGGCAACUGGGGUCGCGCCGACGCUGAGACACGAAAGCCAGGGGAGCGAACGGG